GGUUUGAUUAUGGCUCAGAUUGAACGCUGGCGGGAUCGCUUUUACCAUGCAAGUCGAACAGCGGCACGGACUUCAGGUCUGGUGGCGAGUGGCGAACGGGUGGGUAAUGUAUCGGAACGUGCCUAGUAACGGGGAUAACUACGCGAAAGCGUAGCUAAUACACGCUCGCCCUUCGGGGAAAGCGGGGGACCUUCGGGCCUCGCACUAUUAGAGCGGCCGAUAUCAGGAUUGACAGGAUUGGGGUAACGGCUCACCAAGGCGACGAUCCAUUAGCUGUAGUUGAGAGGACGACCAGCCACACUGGGACUGGGGCUGCAGCCCAGACUCCUACGGGAGGCGGCGAUGGGGAAUUUUGGACAAUGAGGAAACCUGAUCCAGCCAUCCCGCGUGUGCGACAGAAGGCCUUCGGGUUGCUAAAGCACUUUUGGCAGGAAAGAAACGGCACGGGAUGUGCCCGUGCAACUGACGAACCACCUGCAGAAUGUAAGCACCGGCUAACUACGUGCCAGCAGCCGCGGUAAUACGUGGGGUGCAAGCGUUGUCGGAAUUACUGGGCUUAAGCGUGCGCGAACGGUUCGGAAAAGAAAAUGCUGAAAUCCCAGAGCUUAACUUUGGAACUGCAUUUUAACUACCGAGCUAGAGUGUGUCAGAGGGAGGUGGAAUUCCGCGUGUAAGCAGUGAAAUCUCGUAGAUAUGCGGAGGAACACCGAUGACAGCCUCUAAGGAUAACACUGACGCUCAUGCACGAAAGCGUGGGGAGCAAACGGGAUUAGAUACUGGUGGUCCACUGCGCCUACGGCAGAUGUCAACUGGCUGUUGUUGGGGCCUUCGGGCCUUGGUAGCGCAGCUAACGCGUGAAGUUGACCGCCUGGGGAGUACGGUCGCAAGACCAAAGCUCAAAGGAAUUGACGGGGACCCGCACAAGCGUGAAGGUGGAUGAUGUCAGAUUAAUUCGAUGCAACGCGAAAAACCUUACCUACCCUUGACAUGUCUGGAAUCCCGAGGAAGAAAUUUGGGAGUGCUCGCAAGAGAACCGGAACACAGGUGCACCAUGGCUGUCGUCAGCUCGUGUCGUGAGAUGUUGGGUUAAGUCCCGCAACGAGCACGCAACCCUUGUCAUUAGUUGCUACGAAAGGGCACUCUAAUGAGACUGCCGGUGACAAACCGGAGGAAGGUGGGGAUGACGUCAAGUCCUCAUGGCCCUUAUGGGUAGGGCUUCACGUCAUACAAUGGUCAGGACAGAGGGUCGCCAACCGCGAACCAAUCGAAGCCGAUCGUAGUCCGGAUCAUGUCUGCAACUCGACUGCCGUGAAGUCGGAAUCGCUAGUAAUCGCGGAUCAGCAUAUAGCGGUGAAUACGUUCCCAGGGUCUUGUACACACCGCCCGUCACACCAUGGGAGUGGGUUUACCAGAAGUAGUUAGCCUAACCGUAAGGAGGGCGAUUACCACGGUAGGAUUCAUGACUGGGGGUGGAGAAGUCGUAACUAGGUAGC
rnacentral:rRNA from 1 species